UACGGGGGGGGCAAGCGUUGUUCGGAAUCACUGGGCUUAAAGGGCUUGUAGGUGGCCAACUAAGUCAGACGUGAAAUCCCUCGGCUUAACCGGGGAACUGCGUCUGAUACUGGAUGGCUAGAGUGUGGGAGAGGGAUGCGGAAUUCCAGGUGUAGCGGUGAAAUGCGUAGAUAUUCGCAAGAACACCAGUGGCGAAGGCGGCUCACUGGCCCGGUACUGACGCUGAGGUGCGAAAGCGUGGGGAGCGAACAGG
rnacentral:rRNA from 1 species